CGGAUGAAGGUAGCUUGCUACCGGAUUCAGCGGCGGACGGGUGAGUAAUGCUUAGGAAUCUGCCUAUUAGUGGGGGACAACGUUCCGAAAGGGGCGCUAAUACCGCAUACGUCCUACGGGAGAAAGCAGGGGACCUUCGGGCCUUGCGCUAAUAGAUGAGCCUAAGUCGGAUUAGCUAGUUGGUAGGGUAAAGGCCUACCAAGGCGACGAUCUGUAGCGGGUCUGAGAGGAUGAUCCGCCACACUGGGACUGAGACACGGCCCAGACUCCUACGGGAGGCAGCAGUGGGGAAUAUUGGACAAUGGGGGGAACCCUGAUCCAGCCAUGCCGCGUGUGUGAAGAAGGCCUUUUGGUUGUAAAGCACUUUAAGCGAGGAGGAGGCUACCUAGAUUAAUACUUUAGGAUAGUGGACGUUACUCGCAGAAUAAGCACCGGCUAACUCUGUGCCAGCAGCCGCGGUAAUACAGAGGGUGCGAGCGUUAAUCGGAUUUACUGGGCGUAAAGCGUGCGUAGGCGGCCAAUUAAGUCAAAUGUGAAAUCCCCGAGCUUAACUUGGGAAUUGCAUUCGAUACUGGUUGGCUAGAGUAUGGGAGAGGAUGGUAGAAUUCCAGGUGUAGCGGUGAAAUGCGUAGAGAUCUGGAGGAAUACCGAUGGCGAAAGCAGCCAUCUGGCCUAAUACUGACGCUGAGGUACGAAAGCAUGGGGAGCAAACAGGAUUAGAUACCCUGGUAGUCCAUGCCGUAAACGAUGUCUACUAGCCGUUGGGGCCCUUGAGGCUUUAGUGGCGCAGCUAACGCGAUAAGUA
rnacentral:rRNA from 1 species